rnacentral:lncRNA from 1 species
GUCAGGUGACGUCCUACGUCCGCCCCUCCCAGCCUCACCGGGUCGGGGCCCAGCGCGCUCCCAACCGCCCCCGGGAGCCCCGGUUGACCGCAGCUUGGCUCCGCCUACUUCGCCUACCCCGAGUGGCGGCCGCGUGGGGGUUUCAGCCCAUGCCUUAACUGACAGAGGACUGAGCCAGGUGGCCGAGGAAGCGGGUACUGAAGGGACCGGGCCGGCAGGGUCACAGGGCCACGCCACACAACGAAUUCCAUGGACUCACACCAAGAGUAGUAAGAAGCAUACUGCAUUGCUCCUGGAGUUGGAGGAACUUGACUGGACUUUUUCCAUGUGCAACUGUAAAGAAAUCAGGCUACCAUGCACUGUGCUGCUUGGUGCUUGCAGAUGA